UUAGAGUUUGAUCAUGGCUCAGGAUGAACGCUGGCGGCGUGCCUAAUACAUGCAAGUCGAACGCACAGCGAAAGGUGCUUGCACCUUUCAAGUGAGUGGCGAACGGGUGAGUAACACGUGGACAACCUGCCUCAAGGCUGGGGAUAACAUUUGGAAACAGAUGCUAAUACCGAAUGAAACUUAGUGUCGCAUGAUACGAAGUUAAAAGGCGCUUUGGCGUCACCUAGAGAUGGAUCCGCGGUGCAUUAGUUAGUUGGUGGGGUAAAGGCCUACCAAGACAAUGAUGCAUAGCCGAGUUGAGAGACUGAUCGGCCACAUUGGGACUGAGACACGGCCCAAACUCCUACGGGAGGCUGCAGUAGGGAAUCUUCCACAAUGGGCGAAAGCCUGAUGGAGCAACGCCGCGUGUGUGAUGAAGGCUUUCGGGUCGUAAAGCACUGUUGUAUGGGAAGAACAGCUAGAAUAGGGAAUGAUUUUAGUUUGACGGUACCAUACCAGAAAGGGACGGCUAAAUACGUGCCAGCAGCCGCGGUAAUACGUAUGUCCCGAGCGUUAUCCGGAUUUAUUGGGCGUAAAGCGAGCGCAGACGGUUGAUUAAGUCUGAUGUGAAAGCCCGGAGCUCAACUCCGGAAUGGCAUUGGAAACUGGUUAACUUGAGUGCAGUAGAGGUAAGUGGAACUCCAUGUGUAGCGGUGGAAUGCGUAGAUAUAUGGAGGAACACCAGUGGCGAGCGGCUUACUGACUGUAACUGACGUUGAGGCUCGAAAGUUGUGGGUAGCAAACAGGAUUAGAUACCCUGGUAGUCCCACCGUAAACGAUGAACACUAGGUGUAGGAGGUUCCGCUCUUAGUGCCGAAGCUAACGCAUUAAGUGUUCCGCCUGGGGAGUACGACCGCAAGGUUGAAACUCAAAGGAAUUGACGGGGGCCCGCACAAGCGGAGGAACAUGUGGUUUAAUUCGAUGAUACGCGAGGAACCUUACCUGGGCUUAAAUGGGAGCAGACGGAUUUGGAAACAGGUCUUUCUUCGGACUGCUUUCAAGGUGCUGCAUGGUUGUCGUCAGCUCGUGCCGUGAGGUGUCGGGUUAAGUCCCAUAACGAGCGCAACCCCUACCGAUAGUUACCAUCAGGUCAAGCUGGGGACUCUAUCGGGACUGCCACCGUAAGGUGCGAGGAAGGCGGGGAUGACGUCAAAUCAGCACGGCCCUUAUGUCCAGGGCUACACACGUGUUACAACGGCCGGUACAGAGGGCAGCUACCCUGCGAGGGGAUGCUAAUCUUAUAAAUCCGGUCUCAGUUCGGAUCGAAGUCUGCAACCCGACUUCGUGAAGCUGGAUUCGCUAGUAAUCGCGCAUCAGCCAUGGCGAGGUGAAUACGUUCCCGGGCCUUGUACACACCGCCCGUCAAACCAUGGGAGUUGGGGGUACCUGAAGUCUGUUACCGUAAGGAGCGGCCUAGGGUAAAACCGAUGACUGGGGUUAAGUCGUAACAAGGUAGCCGUAU
rnacentral:rRNA from 1 species